rnacentral:rRNA from 1 species
UGAGAGUCGAGCGGAUGACGGGAGCUUGCUCCUUGAUUCAGCGGCGGACGGGUGAGUAAUACCUAGGAAUCUGCCUGGUAGUGGGGGACAACGUUUCGAAAGGAACGCUAAUACCGCAUACGUCCUACGGGAGAAAGCAGGGGACCUUCGGGCCUUGCGCUAUCAGAUGAGCCUAGGUCGGAUUAGCUAGUUGGUGAGGUAAUGGCUCACCAAGGCUACGAUCCGUAACUGGUCUGAGAGGAUGAUCAGUCACACUGGAACUGAGACACGGUCCAGACUCCUACGGGAGGCAGCAGUGGGGAAUAUUGGACAAUGGGCGAAAGCCUGAUCCAGCCAUGCCGCGUGUGUGAAGAAGGUCUUCGGAUUGUAAAGCACUUUAAGUUGGGAGGAAGGGCAUUAACCUAAUACGUUAGUGUUUUGACGUUACCGACAGAAUAAGCACCGGCUAACUCUGUGCCAGCAGCCGCGGUAAUACAGAGGGUGCAAGCGUUAAUCGGAAUUACUGGGCGUAAAGCGCGCGUAGGUGGUUCGUUAAGUUGGAUGUGAAAUCCCCGGGCUCAACCUGGGAACUGCAUCCAAAACUGGCGAGCUAGAGUAGGGCAGAGGGUGGUGGAAUU